CAAGUACUCCCUCCGUCCCAAAAUUCUUGUCUUAGAUUUGUUUAGAUACGGAUGUAUCUAAUACUAGACUUGAUACAUCCAUACUUACAUAAAUGUAAGACAAGAAUUUUGAGACGGAGGGAGUACAUA
rfam:Triticum aestivum genome assembly, contig: Triticum_aestivum_CS42_TGACv1_scaffold_437033_5DL